GUAUACAAGGUCGAUAUGGCUGUGACAGCUGUCACUCCAUAGAUGAUUAGGGUUGAUUCAGUCAAUCUGGCUGGCUAGGUGGGAGGCCCCUCACCCCUCACUGCUUGCUGUGUGUCCCUCUGGAAGCUUGGCCAAAGAGGACGAUGGAGAAGGACUGUUACCCCUUAUGGAGGACAACUGUUUCUCCCCACAAGGGUAUAUAAGAAGCCACACUCCCCUGCUAGAACCUCCAAAUGAGCUCUCAAGGAAUGAAAGAAAACAUCCCUAAUUAAACAAAGGGGAUUUUAUCUUAGUCAACAGGAACCACUGCUAUACGUCCCAGGAAAUACUCAAACGGAGCAUUGAAUGUCUUU
ensembl:misc_RNA 7SK 7SK RNA